CCGGAAAAGGGGCACACCCCCCACCCUUGUGUAUUAUUACUUUGUUGCUUUGGCGAGCUGCCUUCGGGCCUUGUAUGCUCGCCAGAGAAUACCAAAACUCUUUUUAUUAAUGUCGUCUGAGUACUAUAUAAUAGUUAAAACUUUCAACAACGGAUCUCUUGGUUCUGGCAUCGAUGAAAAACGCAGCGAAAUGCGAUAAGUAAUGUGAAUUGCAGAAUUCAGUGAAUCAUCGAAUCUUUGAACGCACAUUGCGCCCCUUGGUAUUCCGGGGGGCAUGCCUGUUCGAGCGUCAUUUCAACCCUCAAGCUUAGCUUGGUAUUGAGUCUAUGUCAGUAAUGGCAGGCUCUAAAAUCAGUGGCGGCGCCGCUGGGUCCUGAACGUAGUAAUAUCUCUCGUUACAGGUUCUCGGUGUGCUUCUGCCAAAACCCAAAUUUUUCUAUGGUUGACCUCGGAUCAGGUAGGGAUACCCGCUGAACUUAAGCAUAUCAUAACCGGGAAGAAAGAU
rnacentral:rRNA from 1 species